GCGAAAGUGACUCAACGGUAGAGUGCCACCUUCCCAAGGUGGACGCUGCGGGUUCGAAUCCCGUCUUUCGCUCCA
rnacentral:tRNA from 1 species